GGAUAGCUCAGUUGUUAGAGCAUGAGACUCUUAAUCUCAGGGUUGUGGGUUCGAAACCCAUGUUAGGCA
rnacentral:tRNA from 1 species